GACAGAGGCCUCGAGCGUUAGGCGGAAUCACUGGGCUUAAAGCGCGUGUAGGUGGGUCGUUAAGUGUCCGCGUGAAAUCCCACGGCUCAACCGUGGAACUGCCGGGCAUACUGGCGAUCUUGAGGCAUUCAGGGGCGAGCGGAACAAAUGGUGGAGCGGUGAAAUGCGUAGAUAUCAUUUGGAACGCCAAUGGUGAAAACAGCUCGCUGGGAAUGAUCUGACACUGAGACGCGAAAGCCAGGGGAGCGAACGGG
rnacentral:rRNA from 1 species